rnacentral:lncRNA from 1 species
GACAAGCCGGGAGAGUUGGGUGUCAAAGUCUUGAGAAAGUUGGUGGUUCAACCACUUUCUAAGUCACAUAGUGAGUUCCUUUGGGACACCUAUGAAACAGACUAUGACAAGACCCUUAAUGAUCUUAUCUAUUUGCUAAGAUCAACUUCCUAAAACUUUAUGGACAUUGACAAUGAUGACAUUGGAUAUCCAGUAAAGCAUUCUCUUCCCAAUGGAAAGGGAUCGGCCAUAGUCAACUCGGUUGACCAAAUGGUAAAGAGAAAAGCUAAGUCUGUGAUAGUCCCGUGUACCAUUAUCAAAGGGUCCAUAUGUUUAUAUUGCCAAAGGAAGGGGCAUUGGUUGCGAAGCUGCCAAAUUUACCUAAGGAUGUUAAAGUCAAUAAGUUUGACUCUACUUCAGGUAAAGUCCACUAUCUAACUCUGUUAAGUUUCUAUUCUGAGAUUCUUGAUACAUGAUGUGACUGGGUCACAUGGUGAUGUUUUAAGAAUCAAAGAAAAGUGAAGAAACUUAAAGAAAGAAUAUGCUGAAUCUGAUGGCGUAGAUGGAUUUCUAUCGCAUAGUUUGAAGAUCGGAUUCUUGAGCUACUUCUUAGGAGUUAUGAGAUAUUGCUUAGGAAUAGAUAACAACAAGUUUUCAUAUGGAUUGUAAGGAUAAGUUUUUCCGCAAAGUUUUAAAAUAAAAGAAAAUUUUUUUGAUUUUAUUUAUUUUAAAAUAUCCUUACAAUGGCUUUUGAGGAAAAAUUGUUGCUUAUAUGAUUCCAUUAAGAGCAAGAGUGGAAAUAUGAAAUUGAUUCUUUCAUUUGUGGUAAUGUCUAGAUUUACCAAAUAAGGAAAGAUUCUCAUCACCCAAGUUUCAAUUGGACCGGAACUUGGAAUCAUGCAAGUUGUAUAGCAUGAUGAAUGAGAACUUUCAAGUUUUGGAAAAUUAAGACUAAUUACUUGUUCACAUGGAUGUGUGAGUCAAGUAAAGGACUAAGGGAUCGAGUACACAUUCUUGUGCACUGAUUAAGUCCACCACAAAAGAUUGAUAAGACUAUUCGUCAUAGUUUACUAAAGCUCAGUAAAUAUGAUUAUACUUACAAGCUUAAGUGUAACUCUGAGACAUUGGAAAAGGUUCCAAUGUAUGGCAGGGCGAAUAAGAAGAAUCAAAUUAGGCAGAAGGAUAAAAGUUUCUCAUAUCUGAAAAGAUGGGAGAGUACUUUAGUAUCAGUUUUGUGAUCAUCUUAAUGAUUAAGAAACCAUAUCAAAAUUAGUUCUCUAAGGAAAUCUUAGUGCAUUCUUAUGACUAAGAAGAGGAACUUGAAUUGUUGAAAUGGUUAAAUCAAGAAGAUGAGUCAUACUUCGUUCCAAUACAAGUCUUAGAGUCAUACUCCAAGAUUGUCAUUUGAGUGACAUGUCUUAAAGAAGGUUUAAAACACUUGUCAAAUGUAAGAGUAAAAGUUUUCUACUCUUGUACAUUUGAAAUUGGUAAGUUGUGAUGUUUUGGAUAAAACAAAGACCAACUUAGGCCAAUUGGGUAAAGUGUUUUUCUUGAUUAGAAUCCGCACUAUCUCUUGGAUGUUUGACAAGGGAGUCUUAUAUGUCAAGAGGACAGUGGGAGUCUUAAAGGUCUUGAAAGUCUCAAGAAAUAAUCAAGAAUAAAACCUGAAGUUCUUCACUAGCACACGACUUGAGGUUUAUAACCUAUCGUGUUGACAUAUCUGUGCCCAUUCCAGUUAAAGUUGGCUUUGCAUAUGAGUUCUUAGAGUUCUCAGUUUGUUGCAUAACAACUUGGAAGCAAUGGCAGGCCCUUGAGCUGCCAGGUGGCAAGAAGUUAAGAUUGAGUUCAAUCCAUAUGGUUUUGGAUUUGUCAUUAUCUUUGUCUUGUGAUUAUGGUUUGACAAAUUCAUAUGGGUAGGAACUCAUACACCAUAUAAAUCUAAGUGUCAUAAGGUUUCUCUCCGAUUCAUGAAAAUGAUGGUGAGGAAACGCUUUCACUAAGUAGAUUUUACGAAGAUAUCAAUUGUGUUAUUUGCAUUUUCAAAAGUCGUUAGUGGAGCGCGUGUGGUUAACCGGCACACUAACAUGGACUUGUGAGAAAUGGCAAAUGCCUAAGCAAUUGAGACCAUGAUUACGGUAUCCCUUUUCAUGGUUCUUGAAAUUGCUUAGACACACAGGUGAGCUAUCUACGGAAAGGGUGUAUGAAUCUAAAUUUCAGACUGUCCAGCUGAUUUCUGAGUACAUGUCAAAGCUAGUGGGAGCAUAAGUGUUAUGCUAAUAAUCAUCAUGUUAGUGGGAGCAUGAUAAUUAUGAUAAGUAUUGCAAGUUAGCAAUGUUAAUUAUAGAAAACAAAAGUUUCAAUUGGGAAAAAGUUGUUUUGCUAUAAUUAAGGGAGAGGAAAUUAUGCUUCAUCUCAAAUCUAUAAGCUUAGAUCGUGAGGUUUUAAUCAUUUAGUCAAGGAUAUAUAUGAAUUUCAUGUUGGAAUGGCUCAACAUAAGGAAAUUCUGUAUAUGGGUCCAUUAUUUGCGUUCUAAAAUUCGAUUAUGAUUACGGCAUCCCUUUUCAUAAUCUGAAUUAUGAGAACUUGGCAAAUUGAAAUGGAAAUAUUAUAGCAAAAGACUGGUUUAGUCUUUAUGUAAGACAUCAUGAAUCGUGUCCCAUAUGCUUCGGAUAUAGGAUCGAUUACAUGUGCUAUAUUCAUCCGUUCUAAAAUUUUCCAAAUGCCUGGGGCAUUAAGAAGGGAAAAGGUUUAGAACUGGAUAUGACUAAAAGGAUUAAACAAUUGUCGAGGACAAUCUAAGGUUUACCAAAGAUUGGUUACUCAAGGACAAUUGGAAGUAUAGUGAUAAUUCUGGAAGGACCAUAUUGACAUAAUCUGUAAGGAGGCAACUCUUGUUCAGAAGUGAUAGUCAAAAUGGAAUCUGGAAAUGUUUCAAAGUUAGAAUUUUCAAUCUGUGUAAGAUUAAGGAAACUUAAUGCAAGAAGGAUAUUUCCAAGGAGUUGAUCUCCUUUGGAAUACUCUGUAAUGAUUGUUGCCAAGUCUUUGUGACUUUGUGCAUAAUCAUUACAAGAGGAUCAAUGCAUAUAAGUUUAGAAUCUAACAGAUUUCAGUAAAUGGCAUGAAUUUGGAAUUCUUGCAUUUGCAGUAAGGAUUUGGGAGUGUGAAAAGAGAAUCAUUGAAGUUAUGUUCAAUUGAUCUAGUUCACAAAGUAAAGAUCAUAGACAAACAUAGUAUGCAUACUUGGUGUGUGGCAUGACUAGUGUUUAAGAAAACAUAGUGUACAUGCUUGGAGCAUGGGACAACUAUUGUUUUAAAUUCAAGAAUAAAGUUGAUAGCUGAAACAGUAUACAAUGAAUAAUGUGUAAUCAUAUGGUGAUAAAUAAAAGGUGUUUUAUUUAUGUUCAAAGGGUUGAUACCAUAUUGGAUUCAAUUAUUAUUGUGUUUCAUUUUGCAUGUUUUGACUUCCCGAAUAAACUGGGUUAUUCUUCCGGAAUGACUAAGUUAUUCAAACCAUCCACAGUCGGUCAUAUGUUGGAAGUAGAUAUGAAUUAAGACUGUCAUGGGUUGGCUUGUAGAGGUCUAAGGUGUUGGACAAAGGGCUACAACACUCAUGAGUGCUCAUAAGUUCUGAGUAUUGGAUUCAACCCGCGCUCAUUGGAAUCACUUCAUGGAUUUUAUCACGAGUGAUCAUGAGACGAUAAUAUCUUAUAUUCUUCAAACCUAGAGAUAUGAGUUGUUACUAUGAGUUGAUAGUACAUUGAUUGCACGAAAACGCAUUUGGUAACUCGGUGCUAUAAAACGUGCCUUUGUGUAUGAUUCAACAAGUAGUAGAACAAGCCAUAUGAGUCGAAGUUUAUCCAUUCCUUUUACCUUCGGGAUAAAAGCGAUAUCUGUGGGCCCCUCGAUGAUUUGAUGAUGACAAAUGGAAGUGCUCGGCCGGGCCAGGACUGAUUUGAUUUGUUCAAUUAGUCAGUCGUCAUAAAUCGGAAAUCGGGAAACAACAAAUGGACAGAGAGAAUGAUUAUAAUCCAUGUCUCAGUCCAUAUGAUAUCUAGAAUGGAGGAAUAUAUGAUCCCUUAUCUAAUGGACAAGUCAUUGACAAAGGUCAGAGUUCAUCUACAAGGUCAGAGUUCGACAGAAGCUUUUGAGAGCUACGAUUGCCAGUUGGUUCCUGAAGUCAUACGCAAUAAUAGUUUUAGACUUAUCCAAGUGGGAGACUGUUGGAUUAAUGUCUAAGUCCAUAACUAUAAUUGGUAAGACUUGACCCGACCCGGCAUGGUCCAUUUGGGUUGCAUACCAUCAUGCACUUGGAUAGACUAUAAUGAGAGAAAUAAGACACUUAUGGUUAUUAAUAUAUUAUAAGUUCUAGUAUAUUAAUAAUAAGAAUAAUAAGAUUAUUUAAUUAGUAUUGAUCAAGAAUUAAUCUAGGAUUAAUUAAGUGAUCAAAAGAAGACUAAUUAAAUAUAUGGGUUGAUUGUGUAAAUCAUCCAUACUUGUAUAGUGGGCUAAUGCUCCAUGGAUAAUCAAGUUGGGCUAAAACCCAUAGGAUGGUCCAUGGAUGCUCCAUGGUGUAUUUGUACCCAUGGAUCCAAGGAAAUGGAAAGCCAUGACAAUUAAGAGUUUACCCUAAUUGUGUAACUAUAUAAGCAUCUUAUUAUUGAGGAAAAAUCGGCCACUAGUGAUAGUGAAGAAAGGGCUAGCCGAUUUUGAAGAGUGUAGAAUUCUCUCAAGUCAUUCCAAGUGUUUUGAUGAUUGUGAUUCCAUUUGAGGUGUCACACUUGGGGCACUAGGCACUCAAGCUUCAUGAAGACUUUCUACAUCAAAGAGGUAUGUAUUCUAUCUUGUUAUAGUCAUUGUUUUGUAUGCUAGAUUAGGAUAAUACCUUGGAAGUUCUUAUUUGCAUGUAUAAUAGAGAAAACAUAGAUCCAAGGUAUUUAGGGUUGCAUGUACACUUAGGAGUGUUAGAAUGCUCAAAACCCAACAGUGGUAUCAGAGCCUAGGCUUGUUUUCUUGUUAUACCUGCAAUAGAAGCUGAAAAAACGAAUCUGGUGCUGUCUGGCCAUCAGACUCGGCGAGUCCAUCAGGAGACUCGACGAGUCCAUGCCUAAAAAGUGAUGAAUUCGAUCCAACUCGCCGAGUUUGUUCAUGCACUCGACGAGUUGGACCCCCAGACAGCAUAUUUUCGAGUUUUUUGGCUAGAAAUGGACUAGGAACAUUACCCUAAGUUGUUUUUGAACUUAUAAACUUGUUUUUGAUGUGGUAAUGUUCAUGCUAAUCCAUUUUCAAAGAUAAUUGUCAAUAGAUUCAUGUUUUGUAUUAGUUUAAGGUUUAGACUAAUUACAUGAAAAAGUUUGAUUUGAAUUAUCUUGUUCUUAUGAGUUGCUUAGAUUAAUAGAAAUGUUGAGUGAAAUAGUUGUUUUCAAUCCAUUUUAAUCUAAGAGUUGAGUAUAAAAUGUGUUUGUGUAACUUGUCCUCAAGUUACAUGAAGAGUCACAUUAAAGACUCAUAAAACUCAUAAAAGUUGGCAAUGGUUACAAAAUGAAGAGUCUUGUGUCAUUGAAUAAUUUUUUUUGACUCCAUAACUUGUCCUCAAGUUAUGGAAGUUCAAGAGUCACUUCAUUAAAGAAAAAUAUGUAACCAUAAUUAAAUCCAUAAGUUAUAAAAUAAAGAAAAAGUUAGUUCUUUUAUUAGUUUAAAGUCUUCCAUAACUUGUCCUCAAGUUAUGGAACUUGAAGAGUUUUUGGAUUAAAACUACUUUAAACACAUAAGUUAUGGAAUUAAUUAGUUUUGAAUAGUUUCAAAACUUGCCCUCAAGUUUUGGAAUUUGAAAAGUUUUCAAGUAUGAAUACUUUAAUUCCAAGUUAGCCCUUAGAAUUUUAAAAGUUAAAAUUCAACCCUUAUACUUUAUAAUAUUAUAAGUUAAUAAUAUAUAUAUGUAUAAGAGUAAAGUCAGUCUUACCGCUAGUACGCCUCAUUCACGAAGCCGGUCUAUAAGGUGGGUAUAAGGUUGUUGCCUAUAAAAUGGCAACUUAAUGGGUGUCCACUCUCACCCACCGCUUGCUUGACUGGUGGAGGGUCGUUAGCCGAACGGGUUUGACAGGACUAGAAUUCUCCCUUCAUUAAAAGUAUUAAUGAUAAUACUAAGUAACUAAACUCUUAAUAAUACCCAAUCUUAGUUACUUAGGAAAAAUGUGAAUAAGGUGCUAAUCCAUGAAAUUACACUUUACACUUUGUCUAAGUCGUUAGUGGAGCGUGUGUGGUUAACCGGCACACUAACUUGGACUUAACAAGGUAGGUAAAGGGUGACUUAAUAUUUAUCAUAGUAUCGAUGGAGCGUGUGUGGUUAACCGGCACAUCGAUUGAGGGGUAAUUUAUUAAGGGUACCAAGUGAUUUGCAUGGUUACUUCACACCUUGUUUUGUGAUCCUCGGCAUCCCAGUCACAAAACCUGAAGGGCACACUCGAGAUUGAAACAUGCCUUUGAAAAGUUCAAUGAAUCUCAAAGAUCUAGGAGUUUCAAAACCAAUUAAAACCUAAUAAUACAUUUCGUUUAUCUUGGUGGAAAUUGGUGAAUCGUCAUUCACCUACCUUCAAAUAUUUUAUAGCUUGGAUUACGGCAUACCUCUUCUAAGUUAUAAAAUAGUUUGUUGGGUCCUAGCCUUAAUAUUUCAUAUUGGGUGUCAUAUUAAGGACUUUAAAUCAACUAUCUUGAAUAUCUCCCAAAAGAUGUCUGGUUUAGACACCUAUGAUCUUCCCAAAUCUCUUGAAACAAGGUUUCCUAAUGAAGAUGAUGUCCCAUGGAUAUCAUACUUCUUCACCUCUUCAAAUUAUUCUCCCUAACCCACAAGUUCUUGAAAAGUUUAAGGUCACUCAGGCCCUAUUAGCAAGGCAAGGUCUAGGUGUGGUCACAUCUUGGAGAUGUAGUCACAUAUUGACAAGCCGGGAGAGUUGGGUGUCAAAGUCUUGAGAAAGUUGGUGGUUCAACCACUUUCUAAGUCACAUAGUGAGUUCCUUUGGGACACCUAUGAAACAGACUAUGACAAGACCCUUAAUGAUCUUAUCUAUUUGCUAAGAUCAACUUCCUAAAACUUUAUGGACAUUGACAAUGAUGACAUUGGAUAUCCAGUAAAGCAUUCUCUUCCCAAUGGAAAGGGAUCGGCCAUAGUCAACUCGGUUGACCAAAUGGUAAAGAGAAAAGCUAAGUCUGUGAUAGUCUCGUGUACUAUUGUCAAAGGGUCCAUACAUUUAUAUUGCCAAAGAAAGGGGCAUUGGUUACGAAGCUGCCAAAUUUACCUAAGGAUGUUAAAGUCAAUAAGUUUGACUCUACUUCAGGUAAAUUCCACUAUCUAACUCUGUUAAGUUUCUAUUCUGAGAUUCUUGAUACAUGAUGUGACUGGGUCACAUGGUGAUGUUUUAAGAAUGAAAGAAAAGUGAAGAAACUUAAAGAAAGAAUAUGCUGAAUCUGAUGGCGUAGAUGGAUUUCUAUCGCGUAGUUUGAAGAUCGGAUUCUUGAGCUACUUCUUAGGAGUUAUGAGAUAUUGCUUAAGGAAUAGAUAACAACAAGUUUUCAUAUGGAUUGUAAGGAUAAGUUUUUCCGCAAAGUUUUAAAAUAAAAGAAAAUUUUUAUUUUAUUUAUUUUAAAAUAUCCUUACAAUGGCAUUUGAGGAAAAA